rnacentral:rRNA from 1 species
GACGAACGCUGGCGGCGCGCUUAACACAUGCAAGUCGAACGGACAGGCCUGCUUUCCCUUGUGGUUUGCGGGUACUCGAGUGGCGAACGGGUGAGUAACACGUGAGUGAUCUGCCCCCAACUUAGGUCUAGGCCUGGGAACCUGGGUCUAAUUCCCGAUAGGACUGCAGGGUGGUGCCUGUGAUGGCAAACGUUUUUCUAGUGGUUGGGGAUGCGCUCGCGGCCUAUCAGCUUGUUGGUGGGGUAAUGGCCUACCAAGGCGGCGACGGGUAGCCGGCCGGGGAGGGGGGACGGCGACAUUGAGACUGGGUUACGGCCCAGACGGCUACGAGAGGCAGCAGUGGUGAAUAUUGCACAAUGGGCGGAAGCCUGAUGCAGCGACGCCGCGUGGGGGAUGACGGCCUUCGGGUUGUAAACUCCUUGCGACCGCGAGGAAGCCACCUGGUUGGAAGGGUGGUGACGGUAGUUGUAGAAGAAGCACCGGCUAACUACGUG